rnacentral:rRNA from 1 species
CCUACGGGAGGCAGCAGUGAGGAAUAUUGGUCAAUGGGCGAGAGCCUGACCCAGCCAAGUCGCGUGAAGGAUGAAGGCUCUAUGGUUGGUAAACUUCUUUUAUAUGGGAGUGAAGUGAGGAACGUGUUCCUUUUUGUAUGUACCAUAUGAAUAAGCAUCGGCUAACUCCGUGCCAGCAGCCGCGGUAAUACGGAGGAUGCGAGCGUUAUCCGGAUUUAUUGGGUUUAAAGGGAGCGUAGGUGGGUAUUUAAGUCAGCGGUGAAAGGUUGUGGCUCAACCAUCAAAUUGCAGUUGAAACUGGUUGUCUUGAGUAUAUUUGAGGCAGGCGGAAUGCGUGGUGUAGCGGUGAAAUGCGUAGAUAUCACGCAGAACUCCGAUUGCGAAGGCAGCCUACUAAACUACAACUGACACUGAGGCGCGAAAGCGUGGGGAUCAAACAGGAUUAGAUACCCUGGUAGUC